CCUGCCAAGUGAUUAUGGCUGAUCACAGGUCAGGAACAAUAGGCUUUUGUGUAUUUUAAUCCUUGAUCAUCCUGCGCGUUAACGUCUAACAAAAGAAGAUUGGAACUUAAAGGCAGACUCUCCAGUAAAAAAAAUAUAGAUUUACUGAAAGACUUCUUCCUUUCUAUGGUUGUCUGCAUGGUCUUGAGGGUCAGACAAAAAUACUCUGUCUCAAACUAAAUGGACUCUUUGGUUUGGAAUCAUUCACAUAUGGCUGGGAAUGCUCCUGCAGUAUUGAAGAGAGUUCCAAAGUGCUGAUGGCUUUCAGGCGAGGUUUAUGCACAUCUGACCUGCAGAAUCAGAUC